rnacentral:rRNA from 1 species
GCUUGGCCCUAAACCUCAGUAGUUAGAUAACAAAACUACUCGCCAGAAUACUACAAGCUACAGCUUAAAACUCAAAGGACUUGACGGUGCUUUACACCCCCUAGAGGAGCCUGUUCCGUAAUCGAUAAACCCCGAUCCACCCCACCCUCUCUUGCUCAGCCUAUAUACCGCCAUCUUCAGCAAACCCUAAUGAAGGUCACAAAGUGAGCGCAAACGCCGUCGCCGCGAAUACGUUAGGUCAAGGUGUAGCCUAUGAGACGGUAAAAAAUGGGCUACAUUUUCUACCUCAGAAAAUUCCACGAAAACCCUUAUGAAAUUUAAGGGCCCAAGGAGGAUUUAGCAGUAAAUUAAGAAUAGAGUGCUUAAUUGAACCAGGCCAUAAAGCGCGCACACACCGCCCGUCGUUCUU